GACGAACGCUGGCGGCGUGCUUAAUGCAUGCAAGUCGAACGAGAACUACUUCUCUCGUAAGAGAGAGGUAGGGACAGUGGCGAACGGGUGCGUAACACGUGAGAAACCUGCCUUGGAGAUCGGGAUAGCCCGGGGAAACCCGGAUUAAUACCGAAUAUCUUCCCGGCACCGCAUGGUGCUUUGAAGAAAUGGUCCGCCGCUCCAAGAUGGUCUCGCGGCCUAUCAGCUUGUUGGUGAGGUAACGGCUCACCAAGGCUAAGACGGGUAGCUGGUCUGAGAGGACGAUCAGCCACACUGGGACUGAGACACGGCCCAG
rnacentral:rRNA from 1 species